rnacentral:rRNA from 1 species
AGCUGGUUCUCUCCGAAAUGCAUUUAGGUGCAGCGUUGCGUGUUUCUUGCCGGAGGUAGAGCUACUGGAUGGCCGAUGGGCCCUACAAGGUUACUGACGUCAGCCAAACUCCGAAUGCCGGUAAGUGAGAGCGCAGCAGUGAGACUGUGGGGGAUAAGCUUCAUAGUCGAGAGGGAAACAACCCAGACCACCAACUAAGGUCCCAAAGCGCGUGCUAAGUGGGAAAGGAUGUGGAGUUGCUGUGACAACCAGGAGGUUGGCUUAGAAGCAGCCACCCUUGAAAGAGUGCGUAAUAGCUCACUGGUCAAGUGAUUCCGCGCCGACAAUGUAACGGGGCUCAAGCACGCCACCGAAGUUGUGGCAUUGACAUUAUUGGUAGGCCUUCGUGGUCCAGCCGUGUUGAUGGGUAGGAGAGCGUCGUGUGGCCAGCGAAGCGGCGGUGUAAACCAGCCGUGGAGGCUACACGAGUGAGAAUGCAGGCAUGAGUAGCGAAUGACGUGUGAGAAACACGUCCUCCGAAAGACCAAGGGUUCCAGGGUCAAGCUAAUCUUCCCUGGGUAAGUCGGGACCUAAGGCGAGGCCGACAGGCGUAGUCGAUGGACAACGGGUUGAUAUUCCCGUACCGGCGAAGAACCGCCCAAGCUAAUCCAGUAGUGCUAAGUGUCUGAAUCCCAGUGACUGAUCCCUUCGGGGUGACGCUCUGGGCCUAGCGCACGACCCCAUUCUGGUGCGGUUAGCGUAUUAACAGGUGUGACGCAGGAAGGUAGCCCAAGCCAGGCGAUGGUUGUCCUGGUGCAAGUGCGUAGGCCGAGUCGUAGGCAAAUCCGCGAUUCACAUAGGCUGAGACACGAUGCGGAUAAAAAGUGGGUGAUCCUAUGCUGCCAAGAAAAGCAUCGACGCGAGGUUCUAGCCGCCCGUACCCCAAACCGACUCAGGUGGUCAGGUAGAGAAUACCAAGGAGAUCGAGAGAAUCGUGGUUAAGGAACUCGGCAAAAUGCCCCCGUAACUUCGGGAGAAGGGGGGCCAUCCACUUAUACGGAUUUACUCCGAAAAGGGUGUGGUGGCCGCAGAGACUAGUGGGUAGCGACUGUUUACUAAAAACACAGGUCCGUGCCAAGUCGCAAGACGAUGUAUACGGACUGACGCCUGCCCGGUGCUGGAAGGUUAAGAGGACCGGUUAGCCGCAAGGCGAAGCUGAGAAUUUAAGCCCCAGUAAACGGCGGUGGUAACUAUAACCAUCCUAAGGUAGCGAAAUUCCUUGUCGGGUAAGUUCCGACCCGCACGAAAGGCGUAAUGAUUUGGAUACUGUCUCAGAGAGGGACUCGGUGAAAUAGACUUGUCUGUGAAGAUGCGGACUACCUGCACCAGGACAGAAAGACCCUAUGAAGCUUUACUGUAACUUGAAAUUGAAAUUGGACUUUAUUUGCGCAGUAUAGGUGGGAGGCGUUGAGUUUAUUCUUGCGGGAAUUUAGGAGCCAUCAGUGAGAUACCACUCUGGUAAUGUUAGAUUUCUAACUUUGUAUCAUAAUCUGGUCAAAGGACAGUUUCAGGCGGGCAGUUUGACUGGGGCGGUCGCCUCCCAAAUGGUAACGGAGGCGUACAAAGGUUUCCUCUGAACGUGUAGAAAUCGUAUCUAGAGUGUAAAGGCAUAAGGAAGCUUGACUGUGAGACUUACAAGUCGAGCAGGGACGAAAGUCGGUCUUAGUGAUCUGACGGUGCUGAGUGGAAAGGCCGUCACUCAACGGAUAAAAGUUACUCUAGGGAUAACAGGCUGAUCUCCCCCAAGAGUUCACAUCGACGGGGAGGUUUGGCACCUCGAUGUCGGCUCAUCGCAUCCUGGGGCGGUAGUACGUCCCAAGGGUUGGGCUGUUCGCCCAUUAAAGCGGUACGCGAGCUGGGUUUAGAACGUCGUGAGACAGUUCGGUCCCUAUCCGCUGCGCGCGUAGGAAAUUUGAGAGGAUCUGACCCUAGUACGAGAGGACCGGGUUGGACGAACCUCUGGUGUGUCAGUUGUUCCGCCAGGAGCACCGCUGAUUAGCUACGUUCGGGAUGGAUAACCGCUGAAAGCAUCUAAGCGGGAAGCCGGCCUCAAGAUGAGAUUUCCAUACCUUCGGGUGAGAGGCUCCCAGCCAGACUACUGGGUUGAUAGGCCAGAUGUGGAAGUGCAGUAAUGCAUGCAGCUGACUGGUACUAAUAAGCCGAUG